rnacentral:misc_RNA from 1 species
CACAUACAUAUACAUUCCCUUCUUGCCUGGGAUCCCUGAUGAUGCCAGCCACCUCACCGUUGUAUCAGGGUCUGGUGCCUCACUCUGUGAGGCAGCCAUGAGGCCAUAGCCUGUCCUAGGGUACGGCUGCCGACACACGCUAUUGGUGGACACGUCUCCGCUGGCGCUGUGCCGAAGAGGCUUGGGGUCAUGCUCACUUCUGUAGCACCGCACUAACGAUCGUGCCCGCGGCUGACCAUAUAAUUGUAUAUAUGCCAACCUGCGCAUUCAUCCAUAGAACGCGAACUCAACCCCACACGACCCCCUCCCCCCUCAGCCUGCCACUGGCCCCAUCGUGCGCUGCCAAGCAGCCCUAGAUGCGUGUUUUACAGCCAUGCGCCGACUCCGCUACUGGAGCAGGGCCUGGGCAGCACACUCUACCCACCACCCGCUCCGCAGGUCGCCCCACAGCCGCUCCCACAUCACGCCGGUCGCCACCCCUGGUGCGUCCCCCUCACGGCGGCCCAGGCUCCCCACACCAGCGGGCAGUGCGAGAGGGCCGGGUGUGAGACGUUCGCGCCACGUUGGCAUUCCGCCUAAUCUACGGCUGGUGCAGACGCGUUCACUGUCGCAGGUCGCUCUCGCGCAGCGCCAUCCACGGUCUGAUCGCCGACAUCAGCAGCGAUACAUCGCUCUGAUCGCACCCUCCGUUGUAGGCACUUGACCCUGUCACCACCACAGGUAGCUCGGCACUAGCAGGGGAUAAGAAGAGGAGGGGCUGCUCCGGCUUCUCUCCACACAGAGCGUGGCAUCACUAGACAUUGAGACACCAUGCGCUGAGGUGUCCCCACGUCGUCAGGGAAUUUGAUAAGUGCGCCAGGGAAAACGGGGAAAACAGGACAUAACGAUAGGGCGCUGGGUAUCCGAGGUUCCUGACCGGGCGUUGGCCAGCUUCCUCCCUGAGCACAUCCGGCGUGCACCCAGGCGACCCAUUACCCGCACGACAGACGUCACCACCUCGUGCAUUGGAGCAGGACACGACGCGCAUCCUGCUUGUAUGAGAGGUUGCAGUGCAGCCAGGCUCGUCUAGCGCCGAUGGCGCCGCACGUAUGUGAAGCGGGUGGUUGUGGUGAGGAAGGACAAGUAGAUCCCACUUGACGCCACUCCUGAUUCGACGGCGGACAGCUUGCCCUAGACGAGAGGGAUCUAGCCGCAGUGCAACAGAGACAGGUGAGCUGCGGUUGCCUAUGUCCGCACUUGCUGACCUGCUCAUGGUGGAAUGAUGCACUGAAGAAAAACAUCGCACUCACGUGGGGCGAAAGGCCAACAAUCGCCUGUUUCCUGGUCUCCGUAUCCCCUGCACUCCACUCACCACAUCGCGAGGCUCCCUGUCGCUCUCCUCUCGCUGACGUAGCGGAGGGAGUGCACAACCGAGCCCGUGACGACGCUUUUAUAUUGUUGUCUGUUUCACGAAAACUCUUCCACAACUUCCAAGACGCUCCUCCACAAUUUCUCAGCACCACUACCACCGCAACCUCCGCUGUUUUGUCUCUCUCCUCUCUCUGGCCCACCACCAG